rnacentral:rRNA from 1 species
GACGUAGGUGGCGAACGUUAUCCGGAAUCAUUGGGCGUAAAGGGUGCGUAGAUGGCAUGAUAAGUUAUUAGUGGGAAAUCGAGGCUCAACCUCGUGGAAGCUAGUAAUACUGUUUUGCUUGAGUACAGAAGAGGUUAACGGAACUCCAUGUGGAGCGGUAAAAUGCGUAGAUAUAAUGGAAGAACACCAAUAACGGCGAAGGCAGUUAACUAUUCUGUUACUGACAUUGAGGCACGAAAGCGUGGGGAGCAAAACGGGAUU